UACUUCUUUAUAGUAUAUGUGUGAAUAACUUUGAUUUAAAAAUUAGCUCUUUCCCAUCUUGCAGGAUGGCCAGUGAGAAAUCUGAGAAGCUGGAUACUAAGGAAAGAGAAACUUGAAGCCAAGAAGACUGAUGCUGGUGGCAAGAAUGAGAGCAGGCAAGAUGCAAAGCAGAGAGAUAAAUACACCUGGUCGUAUCAUAAAGGAAUUCUAUGCUCUGGAGGUAAGACACUGGUAAGACAAACAUAGCAAGAGAGAGA
rnacentral:lncRNA from 1 species